AGUGAACGCUGGCGGUAGGCCUAACACAUGCAAGUCGAACGGCAGCACAGUAAGAGCUUGCUCUUACGGGUGGCGAGUGGCGGACGGGUGAGGAAUACAUCGGAAUCUACUUUUUCGUGGGGGAUAACGUAGGGAAACUUACGCUAAUACCGCAUACGACCUACGGGUGAAAGCAGGGGAUCUUCGGACCUUUCGCGAUUGAAUGAGCCGAUGUCGGAUUAGCUAGUUGGCGGGGUAAAGGCCCACCAAGGCGACGAUCCGUAGCUGGUCUGAGAGGAUGAUCAGCCACAGUGGAAAUGAGACACGGUCCAGACUCCUACGGGAGGCAGCAGUGGGGAAUAUUGGACAAUGGGCGAAAGACUGAUACAGCCAUACCGCGUGGGUGAAGAAGGCCUUCGGGUUGUAAAGCCCUUUUGUUGGGAAAGAAAAGCAGCAGGUUAAUACCCCGCUGUUCUGACGGUACCCAAAGAAUAAGCACCGGCUAACUUCGUG
rnacentral:rRNA from 1 species